rnacentral:rRNA from 1 species
GUCCACGCCGUAAACGAUGUCAACUAGCCGUUGGUUCUAUAUACAGAAUUAGUGGCGCAGCUAACGCAUUAAGUUGACCGCCUGGGGAGUACGGCCGCAAGGUUAAAACUCAAAUGAAUUGACGGGGGCCCGCACAAGCGGUGGAGCAUGUGGUUUAAUUCGAUGCAACGCGAAGAACCUUACCUACCCUUGACAUCCAGAGAAUCUGUUAGAGAUAGUAGAGUGCCUUCGGGAACUCUGAGACAGGUGCUGCAUGGCUGUCGU